rnacentral:sRNA from 1 species
AGUCAAUGGUACAGCUCAAUGUGAAGCGGCGACAAACAAGAAAUGGUUUGUUGAUGUGGAUCACCUAUAUGCCUUCCUCUUUGUCAACGGGAAUCAUUGGGUCGCUCUGGAUAUUGACUUGACAAAAAAACGGAUCAAUGUUUAUGACAGCAUCUCGAGCUUGACUACGGAUACAGAAAUGGCGAUACAGUGCAUGUUUGUGAUGACAAUGAUUGCUGCUAUGUUGAGUUCAUUUGUUCCGUCAAAGCAACGUAG